UACGUAGGGUGCAAGCGUUGUCCGGAAUUAUUGGGCGUAAAGAGCUCGUAGGCGGCUUGUCGCGUCGAAUGUGAAAUCUCGGGGCUUAACCUCGGGCCUGCAGUCGAUACGGGCAGACUAGAGUUCGGUAGGGGAGACUGGAAUUCCUGGUGUAGCGGUGAAAUGCGCAGAUAUCAGGAGGAACACCGGUGGCGAAGGCGGGUCUCUGGGCCGAAACUGACGCUGAGGAGCGAAAGCGUGGGGAGCAAACAGG
rnacentral:rRNA from 1 species